rnacentral:rRNA from 1 species
ACAAUGAAGAGUUUGAUCCUGGCUCAGGAUGAACGCUAGCGGCAGGCUUAACACAUGCAAGUCGAGG